GUUCCGUAGUUUAUUUGUCAUUAAUAGAUUGUACGCUAAACUAGUAAUAAUUCAUAAGUAAUAAUGUAAUGAUAAUAAUAAUGUAGCUCUUAUAUACUUAGGUAAGUACUCUUGUAAUGUAUUUUAAAAAAAUGACAAACUUUAUAUAUUUUAUUUCUUUGGUGUUAUAUUUAUUAAUCCUCAAUAUUUCAGGUAAAUAAAAUGUACAAAAUAAUAUAUUUUACAAAACAAAAAUGUAGUGGCUCUAAAAAAUAAUAUAAUAUAACUGUCUUGUAUAGAACUCGUCAAAAAUUAGUUAUGAAAUAUUCCAAUAGUUGAAAUUGAUCAAGUAAUGAGUUAACACAAUACAAGUAAUAAAUCAUAAUUAUUCAUAAUACCUACCUAUACCUACAUUUUUAGAAAACCUUUGCUACAAAUGAUGAACAAUAAUAUACACAGUGUACCUGUAUACUAUACCUAGUGUACCUACACGUAACCUAAAUAUGUAAAUGUAACAUUUUUAAGAAAGAACAUUUUAUUUGAAAAUCGUACACAUUUAGGUAUUUUAUUUUACAUUUUUUUUCUUAUUGUACCCAAUGGUUUAUACUAUAAUUUUCUAAGCAUAAUCUUAUUUAGGCAUUUUUUUUUAUGUAAUUUAUUUAAUAUACAAUAGUCGGUAGGUACUUACCUUAUUGAAUAUUUUGUAUUUGUUAUAUAGACACCGAAUAGUUAAGAACAUUAAAACUCGUAUUACCUUCUACAAAAUUAUUUAUUGUUCGAAAAGCAGUUUUGUAGGUACUUAAGAGGACGUUAAAUGUAAAUCUUUUCUUAUUCAACAGUCAAGAAAUCUAAAAAUGUGUUUUUAUACUUUAAAUGGUGAUUUCUCAAUUUGCCGACUCCCAGUUGCUGACUCCAAAUUCGCCGAAAAUCAGAUUCACGCCGUUUUAAUAAAAUAAAAUGUCAUUCAAAUUUACA
rnacentral:lncRNA from 1 species